rnacentral:misc_RNA from 1 species
GCUCCUUGGUGUGAUGAGGAGGUAAAAUCCUAUCAAACUAGUUGCAUAUGAGAUGAAUCUUUUCAGUUCAAAAAAAAUGUGAGAUGAAUCUUUUAAUUUUCUCAAAUUUCGUCUGGAAACAUAUGGAGUUUUACUUUAAGAAGACUGCAUCAAGCAAGUUUUGAUCUUGAAAUGCCACACAGUAGUACGGUUGAUUUUUAGUCUGUUUGGCCAAGCUUUUAAAAUCAACUGAUUUUGAAAUGAUUUUGAAAAAGUACUUUUGGAUAGUGCCUCUUUUUGUUAGUUAGUUUUACUAGCAUUUUUGUGAAUUAGAGUAUUACUUUGUGGUUUAUCAAUGUUCCAAAAGUGCUCCGGGUA